GUGGGGAAUAUUGGACAAUGGGCGAAAGCCUGAUCCAGCCAUGCCGCGUGUGUGAAGAAGGUCUUCGGAUUGUAAAGCACUUUAAGUUGGGAGGAAGGGCAGUAAGUUAAUACCUUGCUGUUUUGACGUUACCGACAGAAUAAGCACCGGCUAACUUCGUGCCAGCAGCCGCGGUAAUACGAAGGGUGCAAGCGUUAAUCGGAAUUACUGGGCGUAAAGCGCGCGUAGGUGGUUUUGUAAGUUGGAGGUGAAAUCCCCGGGCUCAACCUGGGAACUGCCUCCAAAACUGCAUGACUAGAGUACGGUAGAGGGUAGUGGAAUUUCCUGUAUAGCGGUGAAAUGCGUAGAUAUAGGAAGGAACACCAGUGGCGAAGGCGACUACCUGGACUGAUACUGACACUGAGGUGCGAAAGCGUGGGGAGCAAACAGGAUUAGAAACCCCUGUAGUCC
rnacentral:rRNA from 1 species